UGGUGUUGACUUUCUGCAGACAAGGCUGUUUUCUCCAGACUGAAUUCAGAAUCUGAUGAUGAUGUACGAGAAGCGCAGGAUGUUUAAUGUGUUUGUUUCUGACGUUCAUCAGCUGCCGCUGUUUUCAGUUAUUUCUUAUGAAAGCUCAUUUCAGCCACCGAAUAUAAAUUCAAGUAAUUACAACCUUUUAAUCUCACAAUUCUGACUUGUUUUUUUUAAUUAGGAGAUUCAUGCAAUUCUAAGAUGAAUCUUAACGCAGGUUUAUAACUUAUAAUUGCGAGACACAAACUUGCAAGUGCAAGAAAAAAGUCGUAAACAUGAGAUUUUAAAAAAUCAGAGUUGUGAGAAAAUAGUCAUUAUUGCCCAUUUAUUUAUUUUUGUAUUCCUUGGAGGAAACAAGAUUAUUAAAAUAAGAAAGAUCACAUUUCUGACUUUUCUCACAAUUCUGAGGAUUUUUUUUUCCUCGCAAUUUCUGACUUUGUCACAGUUCAUCUCACAUUUGAAGUUUUUACAUUAAAAUCUAAAUUAAUUACAUUUUUAACAAAUCUAAAUAUUUCAUUUCAUUAAUCUCAAAAGUUUAUAUCUUUCAAUUCUUCAAUUUCAGUGUCUCACAAUUCAGAUUUUGUUUAAUCUCACCUUUCAGAUUUAUUUUCUAUUUUUUUAUCUUCCCUCACAAUUUAGAUUUUUUUACUCUCACAUUUCUGACUUUUUGUCGCACUUCUGAUCUUGAAUCAAAAUUUAAAUUAAUUUACAUUUAAAAAAAAUACAAAUUGCAUUCAUCUCAAAAGUUUAUAUCUUUAAAUUCUGAUUAUUUUUUUGUAUUAUUUUUUUUUUUUUGUCUCACAUUUCUGACUCGCAAUUCAGAUUUUGUUUAAUCCCACCUUUGACUUUUAUCUCACAUUUCAGACUUUUUUCUCACAAUUCAGAUUUUCUUUUUUCUCACAUUUCGGACUUUGUGUCACGGUUUAGAUUCAACAUUUAGGACAUCUUGCAUUUGCACAGUUCAAAAUUGAAUCCAGCAAACCCUAUAAGAAAUACAGUUUAUGUGCCGUGCAGAGAAAGGCACAAAAGAAACCAUAAACAACAUCACAUACACUCGUGAGACUAGAAAUAAACUCAGAAUACAGAGAAAAGCAUCAGAAUUCUGAGAUGAAAAGGUCUCUGUUUUAUUGUUUUAUUCAUCGGUGGAAAUGAGCUCCUGUAGUGUUUGCUUUUGCAUGUGAGAGUCAUCUGCUUCAUACGUGUGUCGUGUUCAUAUGAUCCUGAUCAUAACGUGACUCUUACACCAGUGUUCAAGCGUUUACAGACCGCAUGCAUGCUUUAAUAACUAGCAGCUGUGAAACAUUUCAAUGCCUUUUGUCCUGAUUGUUGCAUCUCAUGUAAAUUGUAAAUGAUUUCAGUGAUAUUAAACAGAUCGUUUUCUGUGAAGAAUGGCAUAACGUGACUGAACUCUGCAGCUUUUCAGUAUAUGAUGUGUGUUUGCUCACAGUUUACAUGCAGCUAUUUGGGAUGUAACUGAAGUUUACGAUUAAAUUUCAUCUGUAUCUUGUGA
ensembl:lncRNA